rnacentral:rRNA from 1 species
UACGGGGGGGGCAAGCGUUGUUCGGAAUUACUGGGCGUAAAGGGCUCGUAGGUGGCCAACUAAGUCAGACGUGAAAUCCCUCGGCUUAACCGGGGAACUGCGUCUGAUACUGGAUGGCUUGAGUUUGGGAGAGGGACGCGGAAUUCCAGGUGUAGCGGUGGAAUGCGUAGAGAUCCGGAGGAAGACCGGUGGCGAAGGCGGCCUGCUGGGCAGUUACUGACACUGAGGCGCGACAGCGUGGGGAGCAAACAGG